ACUUUCAGCAACGGAUCUCUUGGCUCUCGCANCGANGAAGAACGCAGCGAAAUGCGAUAAGUAAUGUGAAUNGCAGAAUUCAGUGAAUCAUCGAAUCUUUGAACGCACCUUGCGCUCCUUGGUAUUCCGAGGAGCAUGCCUGUUUGAGUGUCAU
rnacentral:rRNA from 1 species